rnacentral:rRNA from 1 species
UGCNGUCNAGGGGUAACAUAAAAAAGCUUGCUUUUUUGAUGACNACCGGCGCACGGGUGAGUAACGCGUAUGCNACCUGCCUCUUACUAAAGGAUAGCCCUAAGAAAUUGGGAUUAAUACUUUAUAGUAUGUAUCAUUCGCAUGUUUGAUACAUUAAAGGUUACGGUAAGAGAUGGGCAUGCGUCCUAUUAGCUAGAUGGUAAGGUAACGGCUUACCAUGGCAACGAUAGGUAGGGGGCCUGANAGGGUGAUCCCCCACACUGGUACUGAGACNGNNACCAGACUCCUACGGGAGGCAGCAGUGAGGAAUAUUGGACAAUGGAGGCAACUCUGAUCCAGCCAUGCCGCGUGCAGGAAGACUGCCCUAUGGGUUGUAAACUGCUUUUAUUUGGGAAUAAACCCCUCUACGUGUAGAGGGCUGAAUGUACCAAACGAAUAAGGACCGGCUAACUCCGUGCCAGCAGCCGCGGUAAUACGGAGGGUCCAAGCGUUAUCCGGAAUCAUUGGGUUUAAAGGGUCCGCAGGCGGACAUAUAAGUCAGUGGUGAAAUCCUACAGCUUAACUGUAGAACUGCCAUUGAUACUGUAUGUCUUGAAUUCGGUCGAAGUGGGCGGAAUGUGUCAUGUAGCGGUGAAAUGCAUAGAUAUGACACAGAACACCGAUAGCGAAGGCAGCUCACUAGGCCUGAAUUGACGCUCNNGGACGAAAGCGUGGGGAGCGAACAGGAUUAGAUACCCUGGUAGUCCACGCCGUAAACUAUCAAUACUCGUUUUCGGCUAA